rnacentral:rRNA from 1 species
UGAGCAACCUGCCCUUGACUCUGGAAUAACAGUUGGAAACAGCUGCUAAUACCGGAUAUGACUUUGUGUGACAUCACACGAAGUGGAAAGCCCUGGCGGUCAAGGAUGGGCUCGCGGCCUAUCAGUC